UACGUAGGGCGCAAGCGUUAUCCGGAAUUAUUGGGCGUAAAGCGCGUGUAGGCUGCUCUGCAAGUCGGAUGUGAAAGCCCUGGGCUCAACCUAGGAAGUGCACUCGAAACUGCAGAGCUUGAGUCCUGGAGAGGAAGGCGGAAUUCUCGGUGUAGAGGUGAAAUUCGUAGAUAUCGAGAGGAACACCGGUGGCGAAGGCGGCCUUCUGGACAGUGACUGACGCUGAGACGCGAAAGCGUGGGGAGCAAACAGG
rnacentral:rRNA from 1 species